rnacentral:rRNA from 1 species
CCUACGGGAGGCAGCAGUGAGGAAUAUUGGUCAAUGGACGAGAGUCUGAACCAGCCAAGUAGCGUGAAGGAUGACUGCCCUAUGGGUUGUAAACUUCUUUUAUAAAGGAAUAAAACGAGGCACGUGUGCCUUUUUGCAUGUACUUUAUGAAUAAGGAUCGGCUAACUCCGUGCCAGCAGCCGCGGUAAUACGGAGGAUCCGAGCGUUAUCCGGAUUUAUUGGGUGUAAAGGGAGCGUAGAUGGGUUGUUAAGUCAGUUGUGAAAGUUUGCGGCUCAACCGUAAAAUUGCAAUUGAUACUGGCAGUCUUGAGUACAGUUGAGGUAGGCGGAAUUCGUGGUGUAGCAGUGAAAUGCUGAGAUAUCACGAAGAACCCCGAUUGCGAAGGCAGCUUACUAAACUGUGACUGACAUUGAUGCUCGAAAGUGUGGGUAUCAAACAGGAUUAGAUACCCGAGUAGUC